CCUACGGGGGGCAGCAGUGGGGAAUAUUGCACAAUGGGGGGAACCCUGAUGCAGCGACGCCGCGUGAGUGAAGAAGUAUUUCGGUAUGUAAAGCUCUGUCAGCAGGGAAGAAGAAAGACGGUACCUGACCAAGAAGCCCCGGCUAACUACGUGCCAGCAGCCGCGGUAAUAAGUAGGGGGCAAGCGUUAUCCGGAUUUACUGGGUGUAAAGGGAGCGUAGACGGCAGGGCAAGUCUGGAGUGAAAGGCAGGGGCCCAACCCCUGGACUGCUCUGGAAACUGUCCGGCUGGAGUGCAGGAGAGGUGAGUGGAAUUCCUAGUGUAGCGGUGAAAUGCGUAGAUAUUAGGAGGAACACCAGUGGCGAAGGCAGCAUACCGGCGCCCAACUGACGCUGAAGCACGAAAGCGUGGGUAUCGAACAGGAUUAGAUACCCUUGUAGUC
rnacentral:rRNA from 1 species